CUUUCAUGAAGGUGAAGGCUGGGUUUUUCUUGUUCAGGGCUGCUGGCCUCUCAUAGCUAGUGUGAUGUGAGACGCACAGUGAAGAGGGCAUAUUCUACUCUCACUGACUGAGAGUUGAACUACACUAAGACAUUAUGGCCCAAUAUAAAAAAACCUCUGCAAAGUAUACAAGGUCAUUGUGCCUUGUAAUGGUCCUUUUUUUUUUUUUUUUUAAAGUGCAUCUGGGGCAAGGGGUCUCACAAGCAUAACCAAGCAGUUCCAAUAAGAAAGAUAGUGAGGAGAGUGUCUCCUCCAAUAAACAUAACAGCUAAAGCCUAUCGUACUUCAUGAAGGCUUCCACCGUAGUUCAGCAGUAAAGAAUCCGCCUGCAUUGAAGGAGAUGUGUGUUCUGUCCCUGGGUAGGGAAGAUCCUCUGGAGACGGAAAUGAUAACUCCCUCCAGAGUUCCUGCCUAGGAAAUCCCAUGGACAGAGAAGCCUGGUGAGCUAUAGUCCAAGAGUCAGACAUGACUGAGUGCACACACACACACACACACACACACACACACACACACACACACACACAGCAUGCUUCACGUGUACCAGGCACUGUUCUAAACAUUUUACAAAUAUCAGCCAAUGCAGUUCUCCCAGCAGCCCCUAUUUUAGAGAUGAGGCAACAGAGACUCACAAAGCUUAAGCCAUGUGGCUGUAGUCACACCCCUGGUGUGUUCUGAAGGUCACAUCACACAGGGCCAAGUCUUUAUCUCCCUCCCUUCAUGUAAAAAGUCUGAUUGGGACUGCUGGAGGAAGAGUUGAAAACAAGCAGUUAGCAACUGUGUAGAGUGAAUUCAUUUCUCAUCCAAUCUCCGUUCUCUGGGUGAGUUCUGCGUCUGGAAUGUUGACUCGGUAUAUGAAGAUUGACCCCAGAGCUGACCUAGGGUCUCUCAACGCUUCGAACCUUCAGGCUGGACUGUACCCCUCGGCUAUUUGCUGGGUCUUUCUCGGAUCUUGCUGUAAAUAAGCAAAUCCUCGGGCAGCUCAUGAUGGACCUCUCUGCCAGUGUGACACCUCACAGCAACGCGAGACCUUUCUCUUUGCACAGCAUGCUUUAAUCCAUGGCUGCCUGUUUUCAUAUUUGCUCAGUAAAUAGCCAUUGCCUUGUUCAGGACUCCUCUUCACAUGUAAGAAGCAUCUCCAAAAGCCAAUUGGAUCCUGUUAUUUUUUUCACCUCUCCUAGGC
ensembl:lncRNA